GACGAACGCUGGCGGCGUGCUUAACACAUGCAAGUCGAACGGAAAGGCCCUGCUUUUGUGGGGUGCUCGAGUGGCGAACGGGUGAGUAACACGUGAGUAACCUGCCCUUGACUUUGGGAUAACUUCAGGAAACUGGGGCUAAUACCGGAUAGGAGCUCCUGCUGCAUGGUGGGGGUUGGAAAGUUUCGGCGGUUGGGGAUGGACUCGCGGCUUACCAGCUUGUUGGUGGGGUAGUGGCUUACCAAGGCUUUGACGGGUAGCCGGCCUGAGAGGGUGACCGGCCACAUUGGGACUGAGAUACGGCCCAGACUCCUACGGGAGGCAGCAGUGGGGAAUAUUGCACAAUGGGCGGAAGCCUGAUGCAGCAACGCCGCGUGCGGGAUGACGGCCUUCGGGUUAUAAACCGCUUUCGCCUGUGACGAAGCCUGAGUGACGGUAAUGGGUAAAGAAGCACCGGCUAACUACGUG
rnacentral:rRNA from 1 species